UGUCCGUGGUGAUGAUGAUGACAGUUGUCUUUACCCUGAAACAAGAGGAUGUGGGUUUUUCAGUCACUACCUCAUCUGAACGGUCA